UACGUAGGGUGCAAGCGUUAUCCGGAUUCACUGGGUUUAAAGGGUGCGUAGGUGGGCAUGUAAGUCAGUGGUGAAAUCUCCGGGCUUAACCCGGAAACUGCCAUUGAUACUAUAUGUCUUGAAUACCAUGGAGGUGAGCGGAAUAUGUCAUGUAGCGGUGAAAUGCUUAGAUAUGACAUAGAACACCAAUUGCGAAGGCAGCUCACUACGCGGUUAUUGACACUGAGGCACGAAAGCGUGGGGAUCAAACAGG
rnacentral:rRNA from 1 species